AAUUAUUAUCCUAUCAAUCUUGGACUUUUCCUAAAGGACAACAACAACGAGUUCUCAGUUUUGGUUGAUAGAUCUGUAGGUGGAUCCAGCCUUGUUGAUGGCCAAUUGGAGCUAAUGCUUCACCGGAGGUUACUCAAUGAUGAUGGAAGAGGUGUUGCUGAAGCACUGAAUGAAACCGUCUGUGCUCUUGGAAAAUGCAUGGGCUUGACUGUCCAAGGCAAGUACUAUAUCCGGAUUGAUUCUCUUGGAGAGGGAGCGAAGUGGCGGCGGUCAUUUGGACAGGAGAUAUAUUCUCCAUUGCUUCUAGCUUUUACUGAGCAGGAUGGAGAUAAAUUUACAAAAUUUCCAGUUCCAACCUUUACAGGGAUGGAUCCAUCUUACAGUCUGCCUGAUAAUGUUGCAAUAAUUACGCUUCAGGAGCUUGAAGAUCACACCGUCCUCCUGAGAUUGGCUCAUUUAUACGAGGUUGAUGAGGAUAAGGAUCUAUCCACCAAGGCAAGUGUAGAAUUGAAAAGAUUGUUCCCAAAGAGGAAGAUAAACAAGAUUAGAGAGAUGAGUUUAUCUGCCAACCAAGAAAGAGUAGAAAUGGAGAAGAAGAGAUUAAAGUGGAAAGCAGAGGCUCCUAGUGAUUUGCGAGACGUGGCAAGAGGGGGACCUGUUGAUCCUACAAAGCUGAUGGUAGAGCUCGCCCCAAUGGAAAUUCGCACCUUUGUUAUUGAUCUCAGCCAGAGCGUGCCAGAAGGUUGGAAGUCACAUAUGUCUCUAUGAUAGCAGUCUCCUGCAGCAGUCCAAUCCAAUCCGAAUCGUCAAGACGUCAAAAGGGUAUAUGAGCAGCUUGAAACCUUCUUGGGACCUAUUUGCCUGUGUUGAUAUCACCUUGAGGAGGCAGCAUUGAGUCUCUUGUUAGAAGAUGUGUUAUCCUUUUUGUAAUGGAAUGAAAACCUCUUUGACAG
rnacentral:misc_RNA from 1 species